AACGAACGCUGGCGGCGUGGAUUAGGCAUGCAAGUCGUGCGCGAAAGUCUCCUUCGGGGGGCGAGUAGAGCGGCGAACUGGUGAGUACAAGGUGACUAACCUGCCCUUGAGUGGGGGAUAACUUCGGGAAACCGGAGCUAAUACCGCAUGGUCUCUUUGUCUUUCGGGAUGGAGAGUAAAGCAGCAAUGCGCUCGAGGAUGGGGUCACCCCCCAUUAGCUUGUUGGUAGGGUAACGGCCUACCAAGGCUACGAUGGGUAGCUGGACUGAGAGGUUGGCCAGCCACACUGGGACUGAGAUACGGCCCAGACUCCUACGGGGGGCAGCAGUCUAGAGGCUUCGACAAUGCCCGAAAGGGUGAUCGAGCGACGCCGCGUGUGGGAUGAAGGUUUUCGGAUUGUAAACCACUUUUGUUUGGGAAGAAGGCCUGUAUCGUGAAUAUGGGAUUGACGGUACCAGACGAAUAAGCCCCGGCUAACUCCGUGCCAGCAGCCGCAGUAAAAC
rnacentral:rRNA from 1 species